UUCCGGUUGAUCCUGCCGGAGGCUACCGCUAUUGGAGUUCGAUUAAGCCAUGCGAGUCGCGAGUCUUAGGGACUCGGCGUACCGCUCAGUAACACGUGGGUAACCUGCCCUAUGCUGGGGGAUAACCUCGGGAAACUGAGAAUAAUACCCCAUAGUUCACCACGCCUGGAACGGUGGGUGGAUCAAAGCUCCGGCGCCUGAGGAUGAGUCUGCGGCCUAUCAGGUUGUAGUCAGGGUCAUGACCUGACUAGCCAGCGACGGGUACGGGGUGUGAGAGCACUUGCCCGGAGAUGGUUUCUGAGACACGAAACCAGGCCCUACGGGGCGCAGCAGGCGCGAAAACUUCGCAAUGCGGGAAACCGUGACGAGGGAACUCCAAGUGUCUAUGCAUUGCAUAGACUGUUUUUUAGCCUAAAUAGCUAUUAGAGUAAGAGGUGGGCAAGACCGGUGCCAGCCGCCGCGGUAACACCGGCACCUCGAGUGGUAGCCACUAUUAUUGGGCCUAAAGCGUUCGUAGCCGGUUUGGUAAAUUCUUGGGUAAAUCGUACCGCUUAACGGUGCGGAUUCCGGGGACACUACCAGACUUGAGACCGGGGGAGAUCAGAGGUACUUGUGGGGGAGCGGUGAAAUGUUGUAAUCCUGCAGGGACCACCAGUGGCGAAGGCGUCUGAUCAGAACGGCUCUGACGGUGAGGAACGAAACCCUGGGGCGCAAACGGGAUUAGAUACCCCGGUAGUCCAGGGCGUAAACGCUGCUGACUUGGUGUUGGAGAUCCUACGAGGAUGUCCAGUGCUGGCGCGAAGGUAUUAAGUCAGCCGCCUGGGGAGUACGGUCGCAAGACUGAAACUUAAAGGAAUUGGCGGGGGAGCACUGCAACGUGUGGAGCGUGCGGUUUAAUUGGAUUCAACGCCGG
rnacentral:rRNA from 1 species